GCGGCACUGCCGUUGGGAGCGGCACUGCCGUUGGGAGCGGCACUGCCGUUGGGAGCGGCACUGCCGUUGGGAGCGGCACUGCCGUC
rnacentral:tRNA from 1 species